GGCCUUGUAUAGCUCAGAAGGUAGAGCGUAUAGCUCUAGAAAUGCGAACGUCGUGGGUUCGAUUCCCAGCCGUGGUCA